ACACCCGGAGAACUGAAACAUCUUAGUACCCGGAGGAAGAAAAAGAAAAUUCGAUUCCCUUAGUAGCGGCGAGCGAAACGGGAAGAGCCCAAACCAACAAGCUUGCUUGUUGGGGUUGUAGGACACUCUAUACGGAGUUACAAAGGACGACAUUAGACGAAUCAUCUGGAAAGAUGAAUCAAAGAAGGUAAUAAUCCUGUAGUCGAAAAUGUUGUCUCUCUUGAGUGGAUCCUGAGUACGACGGAACACGUGAAAUUCCGUCGGAAUCUGGGAGGACCAUCUCCUAAGGCUAAAUACUCUCUAGUGACCGAUAGUGAACCAGUACCGUGAGGGAAAGGUGAAAAGCACCCCGGAAGGGGAGUGAAAUAGAACCUGAAACCGUGUGCUUACAAGUAGUCAGAGCCCGUUAAUGGGUGAUGGCGUGCCUUUUGUAGAAUGAACCGGCGAGUUACGAUUUGAUGCAAGGUUAAGCAGUAAAUGUGGAGCCGUAGCGAAAGCGAGUCUGAAUAGGGCGUUUAGUAUUUGGUCGUAGACCCGAAACCAGGUGAUCUACCCUUGGUCAGGUUGAAGUUCAGGUAACACUGAAUGGAGGACCGAACCGACUUACGUUGAAAAGUGAGCGGAUGAACUGAGGGUAGCGGAGAAAUUCCAAUCGAACCUGGAGAUAGCUGGUUCUCUCCGAAAUAGCUUUAGGGCUAGCCUCAAGUGAUGAUUAUUGGAGGUAGAGCACUGUUUGGACGAGGGGCCCCUCUCGGGUUACCGAAUUCAGACAAACUCCGAAUGCCAAUUAAUUUAACUUGGGAGUCAGAACAUGGGUGAUAAGGUCCGUGUUCGAAAGGGAAACAGCCCAGACCACCAGCUAAGGUCCCAAAAUAUAUGUUAAGUGGAAAAGGAUGUGGCGUUGCCCAGACAACUAGGAUGUUGGCUUAGAAGCAGCCAUCAUUUAAAGAGUGCGUAAUAGCUCACUAGUCGAGUGACACUGCGCCGAAAAUGUACCGGGGCUAAACAUAUUACCGAAGCUGUGGAUUGUCCUUUGGACAAUGGUAGGAGAGCGUUCUAAGGGCGUUGAAGCAUGAUCGUAAGGACAUGUGGAGCGCUUAGAAGUGAGAAUGCCGGUGUGAGUAGCGAAAGACGGGUGAGAAUCCCGUCCACCGAUUGACUAAGGUUUCCAGAGGAAGGCUCGUCCGCUCUGGGUUAGUCGGGUCCUAAGCUGAGGCCGACAGGCGUAGGCGAUGGAUAACAGGUUGAUAUUCCUGUACCACCUAUAAUCGUUUUAAUCGAUGGGGGGACGCAGUAGGAUAGGCGAAGCGUGCGAUUGGAUUGCACGUCUAAGCAGUAAGGCUGAGUAUUAGGCAAAUCCGGUACUCGUUAAGGCUGAGCUGUGAUGGGGAGAAGACAUUGAGUCUUCGAGUCGUUGAUUUCACACUGCCGAGAAAAGCCUCUAGAUAGAAAAUAGGUGCCCGUACCGCAAACCGACACAGGUAGUCAAGAUGAGAAUUCUAAGGUGAGCGAGCGAACUCUCGUUAAGGAACUCGGCAAAAUGACCCCGUAACUUCGGGAGAAGGGGUGCUCUUUAGGGUUAACGCCCAGAAGAGCCGCAGUGAAUAGGCCCAAGCGACUGUUUAUCAAAAACACAGGUCUCUGCUAAACCGUAAGGUGAUGUAUAGGGGCUGACGCCUGCCCGGUGCUGGAAGGUUAAGAGGAGUGGUUAGCUUCUGCGAAGCUACGAAUCGAAGCCCCAGUAAACGGCGGCCGUAACUAUAACGGUCCUAAGGUAGCGAAAUUCCUUGUCGGGUAAGUUCCGACCCGCACGAAAGGCGUAACGAUUUGGGCACUGUCUCAACGAGAGACUCGGUGAAAUCAUAGUACCUGUGAAGAUGCAGGUUACCCGCGACAGGACGGAAAGACCCCGUGGAGCUUUACUGUAGCCUGAUAUUGAAAUUCGGCACAGCUUGUACAGGAUAGGUAGGAGCCUUUGAAACGUGAGCGCUAGCUUACGUGGAGGCGCUGGUGGGAUACUACCCUAGCUGUGUUGGCUUUCUAACCCGCACCACUUAUCGUGGUGGGAGACAGUGUCAGGCGGGCAGUUUGACUGGGGCGGUCGCCUCCUAAAAGGUAACGGAGGCGCUCAAAGGUUCCCUCAGAAUGGUUGGAAAUCAUUCAUAGAGUGUAAAGGCAUAAGGGAGCUUGACUGCGAGACCUACAAGUCGAGCAGGGUCGAAAGACGGACUUAGUGAUCCGGUGGUUCCGCAUGGAAGGGCCAUCGCUCAACGGAUAAAAGCUACCCCGGGGAUAACAGGCUUAUCUCCCCCAAGAGUUCACAUCGACGGGGAGGUUUGGCACCUCGAUGUCGGCUCAUCGCAUCCUGGGGCUGUAGUCGGUCCCAAGGGUUGGGCUGUUCGCCCAUUAAAGCGGUACGCGAGCUGGGUUCAGAACGUCGUGAGACAGUUCGGUCCCUAUCCGUCGUGGGCGUAGGAAAUUUGAGAGGAGCUGUCCUUAGUACGAGAGGACCGGGAUGGACAUACCUCUGGUGUACCAGUUGUCGUGCCAACGGCAUAGCUGGGUAGCUAUGUGUGGACGGGAUAAGUGCUGAAAGCAUCUAAGCAUGAAGCCCCCCUCAAGAUGAGAUUUCCCAACUUCGGUUAUAAGAUCCCUCAAAGAUGAUGAGGUUAAUAGGUUCGAGGUGGAAGCAUGGUGACAUGUGGAGCUGACGAAUACUAAUCGAUCGAAGACUUAAUCAA
rnacentral:rRNA from 1 species